rnacentral:rRNA from 1 species
CUGAUUGAUGGUGCUUGCACUUGAUUGACGUUGGAUCACCAGUGAGUGGCGGACGGGUGAGUAACACGUAGGUAACCUGCCCUGGAGCGGGGGAUAACAUUUGGAAACAGAUGCUAAUACCGCAUAACAACAAAAGCCACAUGGCUUUUGUUUGAAAGAUGGCUUUGGCUAUCACUCUGGGAUGGACCUGCGGUGCAUUAGCUAGUUGGUAAGGUAACGGCUUACCAAGGCGAUGAUGCAUAGCCGAGUUGAGAGACUGAUCGGCCACAAUGGAACUGAGACACGGUCCAUACUCCUACGGGAGGCAGCAGUAGGGAAUCUUCCACAAUGGGCGCAAGCCUGAUGGAGCAACACCGCGUGAGUGAAGAAGGGUUUCGGCUCGUAAAGCUCUGUUGUUGGAGAAGAACGUGCGUGAGAGUAACUGUUCACGCAGUGACGGUAUCCAACCAGAAAGUCACGGCUAACUACGUGCCAGCAGCCGCGGUAAUACGUAGGUGGCAAGCGUUAUCCGGAUUUAUUGGGCGUAAAGCGAGCGCAGGCGGUUGCUUAGGUCUGAUGUGAAAGCCUUCGGCUUAACCGAAGAAGUGCAUCGGAAACCGGGCGACUUGAGUGCAGAAGAGGACAGUGGAACUCCAUGGGUAGCGGUGGAAUGCGUAGAUAUAUGGAAGAACACCAGUGGCGAAGGCGGCUGUCUGGUCUGCAACUGACGCUGAGGCUCGAAAGCAUGGGUAGCGAACAGGAUUAGAUACCUGGUAGUCCAUGCCGUAAACGAUGAGUGCUAGGUGUUGGAGGGUUUCCGCCCUUCAGUGCCGGAGCUAACGCAUUAAGCACUCCGCCUGGGGAGUACGACCGCAAGGUUGAAACUCAAAGGAAUUGACGGGGGCCCGCACAAGCGGUGGAGCAUGUGGUUAAUUCGAAGCUACGCGAAGAACCUUACCAGGUCUUGACAUCUUGCGCUAACCUUAGAGAUAAGGCGUUCCCUUCGGGGACGCAAUGACAGGUGGUGCAUGGUCGUCGUCAGCUCGUGUCGUGAGAUGUUGGGUUAAGUCCCGCAACGAGCGCAACCCUUGUUACUAGUUGCCAGCAUUAAGUUGGGCACUCUAGUGAGACUGCCGGUGACAAACCGGAGGAAGGUGGGGACGACGUCAGAUCAUCAUGCCCCUUAUGACCUGGGCUACACACGUGCUACAAUGGACGGUACAACGAGUUGCAAACUCGCGAGAGCAAGCUAAUCUCUUAAAGCCGUUCUCAGUUCGGACUGUAGGCUGCAACUCGCCUACACGAAGUCGGAAUCGCUAGUAAUCGCGGAUCAGCAUGCCGCGGUGAAUACGUUCCCGGGCCUUGUACACACCGCCCGUCACACCAUGGGAGUUUGUAACGCCCAAAGUCGGUGGCCUAACCUUUGUGGAGGGAGCCGCCUAAGGC